CAGUCGCCGCGGGAAUACAGAGGGUGCGAGCGUUAAUCGGAUUUACUGGGCGUAAAGCGUGCGUAGGCGGCUUUUUAAGUCGGAUGUGAAAUCCCUGAGCUUAACUUAGGAAUUGCAUUCGAUACUGGGAAGCUAGAGUAUGGGAGAGGAUGGUAGAAUUCCAGGUGUAGCGGUGAAAUGCGUAGAGAUCUGGAGGAAUACCGAUGGCGAAGGCAGCCAUCUGGCCUAAUACUGACGCUGAGGUACGAAAGCAUGGGGAGCAAACAGGAUUAGAGACCCGCGUAGUCCCUGUCUCUUAUAC
rnacentral:rRNA from 1 species